AUUGAACGCUAGCGGGAGGCCUAACACAUGCAAGUCGGACGAGAGGGGGGCGGGUGAGUAAUGUAUGGGGAUCUGACCGAUGGAGGGGGAUAACUAAUCGAAACGGUAGCUAAUAACGCCUACCAUCGGCUGAACCCAUAUGGGAUGAGCUUGUAGGUAAGGUAAAGGCUUACCUAGGCGACGAUCCCUAGCUGGUCUGAGAGGAUGAUCAGCCACACUGGGACUGAGACACGGCCCAGACUCCUACGGGAGGCAGCAGUGGGGAAUAUUGCACAAUGGGCGCAACCCUGAUGCAGCCAUCCCGCGUGUAUGAAGAAGGCCUUCGGGUUGUAAAGUACUUUCAGUAGGGAGGCGUUACCGGCAGAAUAAGCACCGGCUAACUCCGUGCCAGCAGCCGCGGUAAUAC
rnacentral:rRNA from 1 species